AUUGAACGCUGGCGGAAUGCUUUACACAUGCAAGUCGAACGGUAGAGGGGGCAACCCCUCGAGAGUGGCGAACGGGUGAGUAAUAUAUCGGAACGUGCCCAGUCGUGGGGGAUAACGUAGCGAAAGUUACGCUAAUACCGCAUACGAUCUAAGGAUGAAAGCGGGGGACCGUACGGCCUCGCGCGAGUGGAGCGGCCGAUAUCAGAAUAGGUAGUUGGUGAGGUAAAGGGUCGCCAAGCCAACGAUCUGUAGCUGGUCUGAGAGGACGACCAGCCACACUGGAACUGAGACACGGUCCAGACUCCUACGGGAGGCAGCAGUGGGGAAUUUUGGACAAUGGACGCAAGUCUGAUCCAGCCAUUCCGCGUGCAGGAUGAAGGCCCUCGGGUUGUAAACUGCUUUUGUACGGAACGAAAAGGUCUCUCCUAAUACGAGGGGCUCAUGACGGUACCGUAAGAAUAAGCACCGGCUAACUACGUGCCAGCCGCCGCGGUAA
rnacentral:rRNA from 1 species